AGCUCGAGCCCGAGCGGCCAAUGGGAGCGGACUGUAAAUCCGUCGCGAAAGCUUCACAGGUUCGAAUCCUGUACCUGCCACCA
rnacentral:tRNA from 1 species